rnacentral:rRNA from 1 species
GUAUGUCACGAGCGUUAUCCGGAUUUAUUGGGCGUAAAGCGCGUCUAGGUGGUUAUAUAAGUCUGAUGUGAAAAUGCAGGGCUCAACUCUGUAUUGCGUUGGAAACUGUAUAACUAGAGUACUGGAGAGGUAAGCGGAACUACAAGUGUAGAGGUGAAAUUCGUAGAUAUUUGUAGGAAUGCCGAUGGGGAAGCCAGCUUACUGGACAGAUACUGACGCUGAAGCGCGAAAGCGUGGGUAGCAAACAGGAUUAGAUACCCUGGUAGUCCACGCUGUAAACGAUGAUUACUAGGUGUUGGGGGUCGAACCUCAGCGCCCAAGCAAACGCGAUAAGUAAUCCGCCUGGGGAGUACGUACGCAAGUAUG